UCCUCGAUAGCUCAGCGGUAGAGCAGUUGACUGUUAAUCAAUUGGUCGCAGGUUCGAAUCCUGCUCGAGGAGCCA
rnacentral:tRNA from 1 species